UGCANUCNAGCGGUACAGAAAGUAGCUUGCUACUUUGCUGACGAGCGGCGGACGGGUGAGUAAUGCUUGGGAACAUGCCUUGAGGUGGGGGACAACAGUUGGAAACGACUGCUAAUACCGCAUAAUGUCUACGGACCAAAGGGGGCUUCGGCUCUCGCCUUUAGAUUGGCCCAAGUGGGAUUAGCUAGUUGGUGAGGUAAUGGCUCACCAAGGCGACGAUCCCUAGCUGGUUUGAGAGGAUGAUCAGCCACACUGGGACUGAGACACGGCCCAGACUCCUACGGGAGGCAGCAGUGGGGAAUAUUGCACAAUGGGCGCAAGCCUGAUGCAGCCAUGCCGCGUGUGUGAAGAAGGCCUUCGGGUUGUAAAGCACUUUCAGUCAGGAGGAAAGGUUAACGGUUAAUACCCGUUAGCUGUGACGUUACUGACAGAAGAAGCACCGGCUAACUCCGUGCCAGCAGCCGCGGUAAUACGGAGGGUGCGAGCGUUAAUCGGAAUUACUGGGCGUAAAGCGUACGCAGGCGGUUUGUUAAGCGAGAUGUGAAAGCCCCGGGCUCAACCUGGGAACUGCAUUUCGAACUGGCAAACUANAGUGUGAUANAGGGUGGUAAAAUUUCAGUGUAGCGGUGAAAUGCGUA
rnacentral:rRNA from 1 species